GAGGAAUUUUUCCACAAAGAUACUUUUUUUGAAAAGUAAUUUUGAGAAAAUAUUUUUAAAAGUGCUUAUUUAAAUUUAAUCAAACACUUGCUACUGUAAUCACACAAUUCUUUUUACUAAAGUGAACCAGAAAUUAUUUCAAAAUUAGUUAAAUUUUAAAAGUUGGCCAGAAAUUAUUAACAUGAUUGUUUUUUUUUUAUAAAGUUAGAGGUAUUGAUAAUUCCACGUGGCCAUGGUAUAAACAUUCUCAGCGACUACUAAUUGCAGCGGAGGAAUUUUAACCACCAUUGAUAUCAACAAAAACUGAUUUUUGAAGUUUAGUUCCAAAUGAAUAUGGCGAUAAGUAUACCCGCUAGCUAUAGGGGUUUGACUGUAACGCCGCCGUUUCAUGCUAGGUUUCGCCGACGAUUUACUCCGCUUGCAACUCUAUCAACUCCGCUGAACACCAGCAGUAGUAGCCGUCAAGCGGCGGUGGAUUGGGUGGAGGAAACUGCUAGUUUCUUUGAGGUUGAUGAUCGCCCCAUAAUGUUAUUCGACGGUGUGUGCAACCUGUGUAACGGAGGUGUAAAGUUUGUCAGUGAUAAUGAUAGUAGAAGGAGAAUUAGGUAUGAAGCUUUACAAAGUGAAGCGGGGAGGAACCUGUUGAGAAGAUCUGGCAGAGCUCCCGAUGAUAUUUCAAGUGUUGUUCUUGUUGAAAAAGAUAGGUCUUAUGUGAAAUCCGAAGCUGUUCUGAAGAUUAUGGAGUACAUUAACUUGCCUUUCCCUCAGCUAGCAUUCUUCUUACAGUUUGUGCCUCUAUUCAUUCGAGACUUUGCAUAUGAUAAUGUUGCCAAUAACCGAUAUGCACUCUUUGGCCGCUCCGAUUCAUGUGAGAUAUAAUGGGAGACGCUAAGCACUCUUUGGCUGCUCCAGUUCAUGUGAUUAUACACUAUACAGAAACUGGUAGUUUUUCUAUUGUGCACUGUGACAUUAGAACUAUGGAGGCUGUAGACAUUUCACAGCAGGGCUAGUAUGAGUGUAUCUUCCAUGAGCAUUGAUGCACUUGGCGUGAACAGGCUUACCAUCAACAGAGGAUAUAUAUACUCGAUCAACAAGUAUGUUUUUGCAGCCAAUAGUCUCACUGCAGCUCAGAUUUAUCACCUCAUCCAUCAGGGAAGUCCCUACUAUUCCUCUAAAUGUUAUGUCACUCAAUGCAACUGCAGCUGUCUGUAUUUAGUUAUUAGUCAAAACAAUCAGUUAGUAAUGCAAUUCAACUUUUACA